CGCGCAGCAUCUUGUAGCAAUACAGGGUGUGGGCGCGUGGCGAACGGGUGCGUAACACGUGGAUAACCUUCCUUCAGGUGGGGAAUAACCCAGUGAAAAUUGGGCUAAUACCGCAUAACAUGACGAUGUCACAUGGCGUUGUCUUCAAAGCCGCAAGGCGCCAGAAGAGGGAUCCGCGGCCGAUUAGCUUGUUGGCGAGGUAAUGGCUCACCAAGGCAUUGAUCGGUAGCCGGACUGAGAGGUUGGCCGGCCACACUGGAACUGAGACACGGUCCAGACUCCUACGGGAGGCAGCAGUGGGGAAUCUUGCACAAUGGACGAAAGUCUGAUGCAGCAACGCCGCGUGGGGGAUGAAGCUUCUCGGAGUGUAAACCCCUUUCGACCCGGAAGAAUGCCCGCAAGGGCUUGACGGUACGGGUAUAAGAAGCCCCGGCUAACUACGUGCCAGCAGCCGCGGUAAUACGUAGGGGGCCAGCGUUGCUCGGAAUUACUGGGCGUAAAGGGUCCGUAGGCGGUGUGGCAAGUCGGGAGUGAAAUCUCUGGGCUUAACCCAGAGGCUGCUUCCGAAACUGCCAUGCUAGAGUGUGAGAGAGGCGAGUGGAAUUACGGGUGUAGCGGUGAAAUGCGUAGAUAUCCGUAGGAACAUCCGAGGCGAAGGCGGCUCGCUGGAUCACAACUGACGCUGAGGGACGAAAGCUAGGGGAGCAAACAGGAUUAGAUACCCUGGUAGUCCUAG
rnacentral:rRNA from 1 species